UACCUCCUUGUCAAUGCCCAAUCUCAUUUUAUCUCAGAAAAUAAGCAGGGUUGGACCUGUUAGUACUGGGUGGGAGACCACUAUGUGCCACAGUGGGGC
rnacentral:rRNA from 1 species